rnacentral:snRNA from 1 species
GUGGGCCAUUUUUGGUAAGCA